CUUAAUCAGAGUGGAUUCUGGAAUGUUCUGGACUGCGGCACCUUGUGUCUGGAUAGGAAUUUGGGUCUGCGCAGGAGACGGCUGGUGGUCCACUGGGGCUUAAGGACUUGAUGGCAUAACCUACUUCUUCCCCACAGAACGUGACAGAGUACUGCUCUACCUGUAAGUAGUUGACAACCUCUUGGCAACUCAAGCUCAGCUGAGGAUGAUGUUUGUGCAUCUAAGCCAUAAUUCCGCUGGCUAGAAUAGUUUGCUUGCAUUGUUCUGGAACAGAAAAGAGGAGCUGCUUGACCACUCUGCUUUCAGUAGGUGCUGGAUGAAGUUGCUGAGGUGGGAUGAGGGCCAGUAGGACGCCAUGUUUAGAGAAGGAAAGACUGGGGCACUCAGUUUUGUCAAAGGUGGUUAUGCCCUACCUCAAAUACCAGCUUCCAGAGUCUCCUUUGUUUCCUGCUUGACUUGCUCUGCUCAUGAAUAUCUUUUGACCUUUCUUCACUCUUCCGGACCUCUGACUCUGUGCUUUCCCACACCCCUUUCUCUUCCCUUUGAUUUUUUUCUUUAGGAUGAAUGAGGACAUUCUCAGCUACUGGUCCAAGAGCCAUAUCUGUUUUUUAUCUUCACCCCCUAUAGCAAGACGGGGAAAGGAAGUUGUCCUGGGAAGGAAGGUGGGUAGUGAGUAAGCCCAUAGUGUUGGGUGAUGGAGCAUAGUAGGUUAGAUAGUGUUUUCCUUCUUGUAGGUACUCCAGAGGAACCAAUUUGUGUGGUUCCUUGACCUCAGGUGUGGUCUGAUGUAACAGGGACCUAGUCGUGCUGGUGGAUUAAAUAUCCAGCUGUUGAUUAAAAACUAGAAGCAACAAAUGAAAGGCCUGAGUCUGCCUCCCAGGCAGCUGGAGUGUGGCUGCUCCCUGGAUCUGUUCCCUCAAACUUUACCAUUCAGAACCUCCAACAGUUGUUCUUUUCUCUCCAUUCUUCCAUUCCUGGCUUUUCUAUGAAUGGGGUAGCUGGCAGAGUGCUGGACAGGGUAUGGCAGUACCAGGGCACCUUUACUUCCUACAGUGAGGGAAAGAAAGCUUCCUGGCUGCUGACAUCUAACCUCAGCUUAUUCUGGGUACAGUUCCCGUUAGAAUCCCUAAGGUUCUGGGAGCUGUCCAGGGCUCAAGCAUGUUCUUUCCUGUGCAGAAUGGGUGUUUGCCUUACUCUGGAUACACUGAGCCUAUAAGGGAAUUAGGCUAGGUCUGGGGUCUAAAGUUUAGACUGGGCUAAUGGGUGUUUGCCUUUUUCUGGAUACACUGAGCCUAUAAGGGAAUUUGGCUAGGUCUGAGGUCUAAAGUUUAGACUAGGCUGAGCAGUGACUAGAUUCUGGAUUUUUCUCUGCUUGGGGUUUUCCUUUGAAUGGAUCAUUUUGUUCUUUAGGUCUUCAGUUGUCUUCAAAAUAUUUCCAGGCACUUGACAGGGAAAUACUUUUCCUCUGCCUUACAACAGCAGCACUAUUAAGUUAAAGUGAUGAUCUCCCUCAAAACUGGGAAGGCGGCUCCAUUGUAGACACAAACUGGAAAGCAGACAGCUAGUACUUGCCGUGAUAGUCAGAAGUCCCUGUCUGUCAUUGCUGGCAGUGUUCUUGGCCCCUAGAGUUAGUGGGAGCUAACACAGCCAAGUGUCUAGGGUCUAAGGAGAAAAGAAAUAAUCCUGGAUAAUCCUACUAGGUACCUGUGGAAUCUCAGUCCCAGCCACUCGUGUAGUUACUCUGCUGGCAUUGUGUUUCACCUUCCCUGCUCCCUCACUGCUGUCCGUGGAAGAUUAAUGAAUCCCACCUCACAUGUUUAAUUGUCUUGUCUCUCCCUUUGAGACAGGCCUCUGAGAUCCCUGCCAAGAAAGGUCAAUUUGGAUGAGUUAUCUGUUAUUUCAAGGAGCUAGACAAGUUCAGUCACUGCAUCAGUGGUCUGUGAGGAUAUCGAGGGGAUGGAGGGGCAAAAGUUUAAACAAAGAGGCAAGUUCAGUCAGCUCUUUAGUGGAAAAGAAUCAACCUGGUUCUUCAAGAUGAGCCCCACUGGAGACCUGAAACCAGACGUGCGCUGGCCGUGAUUGAGAACCGUGGGUCUUGUGCCCAACUCUGAUGGCCUCUGCUGCCAUUCACAGCCCUUCCUUUGCCUCAUUGGGAAAGUGGGUACAGAGCACAAAGGAUAUUGGCUUUGCCUUUUGUCACACAGCUGUCUCUGUGAAUCAGGGCUGUACCACCCUGCCCAUUUCCCUCUUUCAGACCUGGCUUCAGCUGUGUGUUGCCGGCCAAGCAGGCAGGACAGUUAGCAUGCCUUGAAGGAUCUAAGCAUGCCUGACACUUGGCCUGCCUCUGCGAUAAGUGAAAGACACUGUCCUUUUAAUGAGCCUGCCGUCUGUAGAAGGGCCUUGUUUUCCUUCAUUUUCCUGGUCACUGGCUAUGAGGAAAGCAUACACUGGGUUUGGUUCCUUGUUAGCUCCUUCCAGCUGCUUAUGGGCUAAUAAACAAGAAAAUACUCUUGAGGCCCCAUGGUCUGUACAGAGCCUGAUGCUGUAGAACCAUGACUUUGUGGGUAGAGUACAGGAAUAGGAUGAAGGGAACCACAUAGGGUCAUGGUUGUUCGUGAAGAUUUUGCUUAGCUAGAAACUCAAAGCCAGGAAAAUGAACCCAAGUUGCUGAGAGGGAGAAAGGAAGGAUCUUGGAGGCCUAAGAGCAACCAAGUUUUAUUCCACAGAGGCACCCUAGUGCUAGUGUGAAUGAGGGUUGGUGAUGGGUUUUGCGUAGGUAGUAGGAAUGAGUUUUUGGGUGGGUGACUGCGAAGAGAAGGGCUUAAGUGAAUGAAAGAACUUGGUGAGGACCUACCAGGUGACAGGAUAGGACACUGUUCCCUCUUAGUGACAUAGGAGAUGUGCACAUACAUGGGAGCUGACUGUGGUGCAGGACUUAGAUUGAAAGACCCUGUAUGUUCAAGGAAGGCAUUCUGUUUAAGGUCUGCCCCUCUGCUAACAGGACUUACUUUGCAUUUAUUUAGCCUUCUUUUCUUUUGUGGUUGGAACUCUAGUCUGUCUACAAAUCUCCAAAGCUGCCUGGGUAGGAACCCCUGGGCUUAGGAACAUGUGGAGAAGUCUUAAGGAUUCUCAGGAGUGUUAAAGAGCCUUGGUCACUACACACUUAGGUCUCUUCACAUUAGCUGGUUCACUGGGUUUCACAGCACUGAGCAGAGGGGUAGUAUUGGCCUUGUCGUGACUUAACUGAGUCAGAAAGAGCCCUCUCAGGGCCUAAUGGCUUGUUCCCAGCUUUGGAUUUCCACCCAGAUCUUAUACUCCAGCUAGACUAGGGAGUGGAGCACUGAGGUCCUUGGCAGUUCUGGAUCUCUGAGGCUUUCACUUCUUUCUUUAUACAUUAGAGAGGAGAAGGAGAACUAAGAAUAUCUUUACUCUCCUCCUCUGUUUCUCUGAUUGCUUAGAGCUCUUGUGAGAGCUGACUUGCACUUGGCUAAAAUGCCAGGCAUUCCCCAUGAUCCUGAAAAGAGUUCUUGUUAAGCCUUUUUGACAUCUUCAUAGAGUAUUUCCCUGAAUUUGGGCAUGUUUCUGCUGUGUGUUGCUCGCUAGGAAAGGAAGUCUCACUGUGGCAACUCAGGUUUUCCCAUUCUAUUUGUGAGGGAAGCCUGGAGCUUUCCCAGCAUGUGUGUUGUGUCUGUGUUAUCUGUUUGCUGACUCACAUAAAUCAUCCACUGGAAGCAUUGGCUAAUGUGUUGCAUAGUUAGAUAUCAGGAUAUAAAGUGACUCCUUGGUUCUACCUUUAAUCAACCCUGGCUGCCUUUGUGGCGUCCUUAAGCUGGGAGAGUAGCAGAGACAAUGUCGGCACAGAUCUGGAACAAUAAUCCAUUUUCCUUUGAAGAGAGAAUUUUUGCCACUGAGCUUAUAGGAACGGUUCUUAAUUCCUAUAUAAAGUGUAGAGAAAGUAUAUGCUGUCUCUUAUCUCCUAGGGAAGACCUGUUCUGUUUCUGUAUUUGUAUCAUUACUGGUUUUACCCUGGGCCAUUGCUCCCAAUGAAGGGGACUCUGGACAACCAUUGUGGUUGGGGGGAAAGGUAAUAGAGAAAGAAAGGUGAUGUUUUCUAGAAAGAAGGUAAGAGUAGAGUUUCAGUGUAGACUCAGCUCUGAAAGUCAUAGGCAUUAUUUUUGGUGCUAAAGGCUUAGGUGUAUGUUCAAGUGGACAUACUUCUUAGAGGAAACCCAGAGUGUGAAAUAAUUAGUUAAUGGCUCUAUGAAAGUUAUAUUAAGUAUGGAAAACCCUAUGUCCAUUUGAGUUAUUGCUAGCUGUAGACUUUGUAUCAGGAGACUUGAUAGGACAGACCUGUCUUAAGUUCACACUUAGUAUUGACUUUCUUCCUCCUUUCUUUUCUGUUUCCUACUCUUUUACAUUCCUUAGCCAUUUCUGAAUAUAGUCAUUUCCUAUCUAUGGAGGAUUGGAUCCACAGAUGCUGAAGUCCUUCUGUGAAAUGAGUUUUUUUACUUAAUUUUAUACAUCUCCUCUCAUGAACUUUAGACCAUGCCCAGAUUUCUAUAAUACCUAACUCAAAGCAAAUGCUGUCAAAUAAUUGUUUUAAGAAUUCUUUAGAAGAUAGUAGCAAAGUCUGUGCAUAUAAAUGUAGUUAUAUAUAUAUAUAUAUAUAUAUAUAUAUGCAUGUUAUAUAUGUUCAUGCAUAAUAACUGGAGUGCAGGGAGAUAGUACCUGGGGAUAUGGAAGGCUGACUAUAGUCUGUUGACGCAAGUUUCUCUCCCUUCUGGUCCCGCAGUCAUUCAGUCCCAAAGAAAUACACAGAGGCCUACAUUAAUUAUAAACUGGUUGGCCUAAUAGCUCAGACUUUCUUAUUAACUAACUCUUACAUUGUACAUUAACCCAUUCUUCUUGUCUGUGUUAGCUGUGUGGCUUGGUACCUUUUAUCAGCAAGGCAUUCUCGUCUUGCUUCCUCUGUGUCUGGGUGACGACUACAGACUGAGUCUUUCCUCUUCCCAGAAUUCUCUUGUUCUUGUUGCCCUGCCUAUACUUCCUGCCUGGCUACUGGCCAAUCAGCAUUUAUUAAAACAAUACAAGUGACAAAUCCUUAGAGGGAACAAGACCAUUGUCCCACAGCAAUAGUCUGUGCGGUUACAUUGCUACUUUCUUGAAGUACAUACAUGUCUUCUGGUAUCAGUGAAUAAGUGACUUUGAUUUGGAAUAUAAGUAAACAGACUGCUCACUGUAGGGACCUUUCUGUCUUCAGAAUUUAGCUGCCUAUAGACCCUGGCAGAGAUCUGUUUGCCCUAUAGUAGGUACCUAAUGUGGGGUGGUUGUUUAGGUAUGCAUCCUGAAUCUGAUUAGCUGUUACUUCGUUGUAGCUCAAAUCCUGAUGGUCUUGGAUGUCUAAGACCACAUGCCAGUCUACUAGGUGAUAAAGGCCAGAAUGGAUAGGCACAGAGAGGGAGGGGACACUGCCUCUGGCCACUGGCUGCUCUCCAAAACAGGUGAACUUUGUGUUCGAAAGGAGUGCAUUUAAUCUUUUGGUCUUAAUAGAAGUUACUUGUAUUUUUUCUCCCUUUUUCUCCUCCUUUCUCUUCACCCUCACCCUUGUUGCCUCCCCAGCCGCCAAAGAAUUUAAUCUGCUGGACAACAAACAAUACAGUUAUAAAACUUUGAAAACAAGAGGGUGCGGCCUCCCCAGUGAGGAAAAGGGCAGGCUGGGUAAUGGCCUCAGGGAACUUGCCAGGCUUGAGGUUUAGCCUGUGAAAGCCCAGUUGGGUGGGUACCUGAGUGCCUGCCCUGCCCAGUGCUAAGCUAUCCCCCAGUCCAGAAAGGGGACAGAAAAGGGCUUGUAAAGGGGAAGUUGUGUAUGUUCCCCUCUGAUCUCAUGGGAAUGCACUAGACUGUGAAACUUCCUUCUCUGCCUUUUCUAACUCUCACCCCUUCCCUUCUCCUCCCACCUCCUCCUUCUCAUUGUACUUGAGACUAGCAGACAGAGGAUGUAACAGAAAAAGGUUAGAAUAGCAGUAUAGGUGCUGCUGCUAGCCUGCCAAAGGUGAAAUAGGGUUUGGGGCUUGUAUUGCCUACAAGCUCAGACAUAUCUUACUAAACCUAGCCCCCCCUCCCCCCACUGACCUGGGGCAGUGCAGCCACAUAUAAAUCACAGUGGUAUGCUCCAGCUUAUAUACUGCCAAGUGUGUGCCCAGGUACUGAGCAGAACUACCACUAGGAAAUCAUUGGGUCCACCCUGGCUUUCUGGUGCCUGCCUAAGGCUGUGCUGAGGAGAAUGGCUAACAAAUGCUUUCUUCUGUGAGUCUUUUGCUCUCCACAGGAAGAGUGAGGCUUGUUGCAGAGAAUUCGUGGGAACCCAGAGUAGACACAUGAUCCAGUGAGUAUGGCACCAAGUAGGAUAUUGUGUCUAUCCUCCCGUUCUUGGCAGGAGGAGGAGUUGACCAGUCCUGACUGGAUGAGGUAGGGAAGUUAGACUUGGCUAUCUCUUCCCUGACCUGUCCUUAUCGAAUCCUCCACUGAGCCAUACAGGCCAUUUCGGAGUGUUAAGGGAGUGGACUGUGUAGGAUUGGGGCGAUGAACUUUAUGGUAGGCAUUGGGAGAUCACAGGCAGGCUUACCUUUCCUCUUGUGCAAGCUUCAGCUCCCAUAAAAAUGCUUCUGGGCUGUGUUUCUCCUCCCUAUGAGAGCAAAGCCCUCUGCCACAAGGGAAGCACAUUGCACUUUAGCCUUCACUUUGUCCCUGCUUUCCUCCUUCCCUACCAUGUGUAUUUCAUCCCAGAAGGCAGCCGUAGUACCAUGCACUGUCUUGGAGUGUGGCUGGUCUCCACAUCUCUAACUUAGUGAAGCCAGGAGAGCCAGUGCUGGCCCCAUGGGCUUCUGAAGCCCUUGCUUCUCUCUUGGUUACCCAAGCAGGCACUUGUGGAACACACUGGGUCUCAAGGAUAUUAUGCCCACUAUGGGAAUCAGUAGUCACGGAUGUUAGGCCAACAAGCUCCAAAUUCCCCUUUACCCAUGUAUCUUCAACAUAUAUCCCUCAUUUUUCACCCUUUCCUCUGAUUCAUUAACCACAGCUUGUUGGCAGCAUUCCCUACCUACCCUGACAGCCAAAGACAAAAUGUCCUGGAUGCUGGGCCUAGGCUACUGCUGAGAGUGACAGGAAGCCAGGCAGCCUGUUCAUUUCACAUAUGCAGUCUCUCUUGGAGGUAAGAUGUUCCCUUUUCUUUCAAAAAGACCUUCAGACCUUCCCUAGUCUCCCCUCCCAAAGAUGAGUUCUUCUCACUGGUGGGAAGCCCUGAAUCAGUCUUCAGAAGCAGGCAAGAAAUGGAUGGCUGGCUUCUGGCACCCUCCCCCACGCUGGCUGGAAUUCUCAUGCAUAUAACUGUGACUCAGCACCCAGUGCUGGGUCAGGAAGGAGAAGCUAUUGCCUGGCUGGAACCUUCCCACGUUCUGCAUGUGAGCACAUCAGACAGCACAGGCUGGGCCAACAGGGUGAGGUUCCUGGGGCAAGUGUCUUCCCCCUCCCACGGAUUUUCUUCCCACAUUCUUUUGGGUUCUGUUCUGGGCUCAGGAUUCUAAAGAUCAUAGCAGUGGUCAUAGACCACUUUUUAAUCUUUGUUUUUAACCAGUGGCCCAUGAAGAGUGUUUAUAACCUUUAGUUGUACUGUCUGACCUGCAUGGGUUGUUUUUUCUCAGUGUUAAUUUUGUAUAUCUCUGGACAAAAUACGAAUUUUCCAGAUUACAGUACCUCUCUUGCAUGCUGUUGCUGCCUCUGGCUAUUUCCUUCCUAAGCACUCUUGGCGCGCGCGCGCGCGCGUGUGUGUGUGUGUGUGUGUGUGUGUGAGAGAGAGAGAGAGAGAGAGAGAGAGAGAGAGAGAGAGAGAG